CCUACGGGUGGCUGCAGUGGGGAAUAUUGGACAAUGGGGGCAACCCUGAUCCAGCCAUGCCGCGUGUGUGAAGAAGGCCCUCGGGUUGUAAAGCACUUUCAGUGAGGAAGAACGCCUGGUGGUUAAUACCCAUCAGGAAAGACAUCACUCACAGAAGAAGCACCGGCUAACUCCGUGCCAGCAGCCGCGGUAAUACGGAGGGUGCGUGCGUUAAUCGGAAUUACUUGGCGUAAAGCGCGCGUAGGUGGCUUGAUAAGCCGGUUGUGAAAGCCCCGGGCUCAACCUGGGAACGGCAUCCGGAACUGUCAAGCUAGAGUGCAGGAGAGGAAGGUAGAAUUCCCGGUGUAGCGGUGAAAUGCGUAGAGAUCGGGAGGAAUACCAGUGGCGAAGGCGGCCUUCUGGACUGACACUGACACUGAGGUGCGAAAGCGUGGGUAGCAAACAGGAUUAGAUACCCUUGUAGUC
rnacentral:rRNA from 1 species